AGUCAUCAACAAUGGAAAGGAAGUAUAUGUAACCAUUCAAAGAUAGACUAAGAGGACCCUUGAUGUUUACAUGUAUCAAAUCAAAAAAAGGUACAGAACUUGAUUUAGUAAUAGGAAAAGGCAAUCUUCUUUGUUUUGCAAAAUGACAAACAUCACAAGGUUCUAUUAAAGAAGGCAAAGUCUUACAGAAAUCUUUCUUGAGAUGUAGAAUCCUCUGAGUUGAUGCAUGACCCAGCCUAUAGUGCCAUAGGUUGAACUAAUUGUGACUGGAUUUAUUUGCAGCAACAGAAAAGUUAAGGGUGUUGGUAUUUACAUGUGGUUGUGAAGGUGAUGAUAGGUGAUAUAGUCCAUUUCUUUGCUCAGCUAUGCCAAUCCUCCUCCAUCUCUUUAAAUCCCUGGUAUUGCAUCUCUGCCAAGCUGAAUAAGUAAGAUCCGUAAUAGCUGGAGCUGGAAAAGUCCCAUCGACAAACUGAAGUUUGUUCUUGGAUUGUAAGGCCAUGUUCGUUGAUCUACACCAUGAAUGAUAAUUAGAUCCUAACAAAAUAGGUGAAACAAGAAUCAAAGAUGAAUUUUCAUUUGGAUGUAAAUAAUAAGGGCUAAACGGAAGAUCUUCAAGUCUGGGAACAUUUACAACUGGAUUGUUUGUAGUAUCAUUAGCCUCUACCACGUUUUCUAAGCAACAAAGAAAGCUACAAAAAAUAAGGAAAAAAG
rnacentral:misc_RNA from 1 species